rnacentral:rRNA from 1 species
CCUACGGGAGGCAGCAGUUGGGAAUAUUGGACAAUGGGGGCAACCCUGAUCCAGCCAUGCCGCGUGUGUGAAGAAGGCCCUCGGGUUGUAAAGCACUUUCAGUGAGGAAGAACGCCUGGUGGUUAAUACCCAUCAGGAAAGACAUCACUCACAGAAGAAGCACCGGCUAACUCCGUGCCAGCAGCCGCGGUAAUACGGAGGGUGCGAGCGUUAAUCGGAAUUACUGGGCGUAAAGCGCGCGUAGGUGGCUUGAUAAGCCGGUUGUGAAAGCCCCGGGCUCAACCUGGGAACGGCAUCCGGAACUGUCAAGCUAGAGUGCAGGAGAGGAAGGUAGAAUUCCCGGUGUAGCGGUGAAAUGCGUAGAGAUCGGGAGGAAUACCAGUGGCGAAGGCGGCCUUCUGGACUGACACUGACACUGAGGUGCGAAAGCGUGGGUAGCAAACAGGAUUAGAUACCCCAGUAGUC